UUCCCCUUAGGUGAUCUCCCUUGCCUCGGCCUCCCUUUCUCUAGAUUUCUAUUUCUAUUGUUGAAACUGCUCCCUGCUCCUUUGAUCCUCUCUGCGCUGUGCGCUCACUUGUUGCCUUUUUUUAGUUUGCCCUGUUGCUUCCUGUUAUACUUCGGGUUGGUUUAGAUUCAGCCGUGUGUCAAUCUCUGGACUUCUAGAUUGUUUGCUGCCAAUGGCCGGUGUGGGAUGAGGUGUGUGUCAUCCGUUCCGAUUCUCCACUGAUGCGGAUUCCUCAUCCGUGCCUAACUGUUUUGUUUGUCUUUGUUCAUGUGUGUCAUUUGGUGUCGGCGUCUGUGGUUGCAUCCCGUGCGUGCUGGUUGUUGAAGCCGGAUAGUGUUUUUUUUUUACGGAAAGCUUUAGGUCAUUAGACCUAUUGCCAUUUUAUUAAAAUGUAAAAUAUGUACAUCAAAAGAAAAAGAACAAAUCAUCUAAAAUUAUCUAUCCAGGCUUUGAAACCAUGGUAUUUUUUUCUUUUAGCCCUAUGUAAGACCAGAUUCAGUUCUUCCUUGAAAAUUCUUUUACGCCAGUAGAGUGAAGGAGUAAUCCCAUUAAAAAUAUAUUCCUUGCGUGUCUCCAAAUGCUCCAUGUCACAAGUGUGGAGAUCUCCAUGUGGAAUGGGGGCUUAUGUUCCUGCUUGAUGGCUUCAAUGUUCUCAUGGACAAUAUUCUGAGGAAUGGAUAGUGGUUAGAUGUAUCUCCAGCAUGUGAGUGCAAAUUUGCAUUGAAAGAACCAAUGAUCUCUUGUUUUGAGGUGCUGUUGAUUGCAGAGAACACAUGUGUAAGAUUGAAGAUGGAAGUUUUUCUUUAGUAGCAUGGCUCUGGUGUUAAGCCUGUCAAUAAUGAGGAGCCACAUAAAGACUUUGUGUUUGAGUUGAUUGCAUGAGGACC
rnacentral:lncRNA from 1 species